AGACGAAGGAAGCGCUGCAGCAAGCGCAGUCCGCGGGCGUGCCGAUCAUCGUGGCGAUCACGAAGAUGGACGUGGCGGGGGCCCAAAUCGAGAGGGUCAAGCAGGAACUCUCUCAAGUCAACCUUCUGCCGGAGGAAU
rnacentral:ribozyme from 1 species